rnacentral:rRNA from 1 species
AUACGGAGGGUGCAAGCGUUACUCGGAAUCACUGGGCGUAAAGCGCGCGCAGGCGGCUUGAUAAGUUGGAUGUGAAAGCCUACGGCUCAACCGUAGAACUGCAUCCAAAACUGUCAGGCUAGAGUGUGGGAGAGGAAGAUGGAAUUAGUUGUGUAGGGGUAAAAUCCGUAGAGAUAACUAGGAAUACCAAAAGCGAAGGCAAUCUUCUGGAACAUUACUGACGCUGAGGCGCGAAAGCGUGGGGAGCAAACAGGAUUAGAAACCCCAGUAGUCC